rnacentral:rRNA from 1 species
GACGAACGCUGGCGGCGUGCUUAACACAUGCAAGUCGAACGGAAAGGCCCUGCUUUUGUGGUGUGCUCGAGUGGCGAACGGGUGUGUAACACGUGAGUAACCUGCCCUUCACUUUGGGAUAACUUCAGGAAACUGGGGCUAAUACCGGAUAGGAGCCCCCGCUGCAUGGUGGGGGUUGGAAAGUUUCGGCGGUUGGGGAUGGGCUCGCGGCUUAUCAGGUUGUUGGGGGGGGAGUGGCUUACCAAGGCUUUGAAGGGUAGCCGGCCUGAGAGGGUAAACGGGACAUUUGGGAAGAGGGACGGGCCAGACUCCCACGGGGGGGAAAAGGGGGGGAAAUUUCACAAAUGGGGGGAAGCCGGAGGAAGAAACGCCGGGUGCGGGAUGACGGCCUUCGGGUGGUAAACCGCUUUCGCCUGUGACGAAGCGUGAGUGACGGUAAUGGGUAAAGAAGCACCGGCUAACUACGUG